rnacentral:misc_RNA from 1 species
UAAGGAGCGCCAUCCGUCGAAGGGCGGUAUGGAGCCUCGUGUCACCUGUGUUGGGUGGUGGGGUGCUCAUUGGUCGGAGACACUGGCUAGUUGGCGUCGGCAGCGGUCGGAUGCUCUUGUACACGCUUCUCAUCGUGUGGUGGGGGGUGGGGGAAGGGGUUGAUGAUGCGGCUGGUGCUGGUGGUGGACACCCUGUUGGGUCCUGAAGGAAUGACCGUUGGUUGUUUCUUGGGCCGUGUGCUCUGCGGUGCCGUGUGGUGCGGUGGGGUGGCGGUUGCCUGGCGUGGCUGGCUUCGUAUACCGGAUGCUGCUGUUGUGCCCUCGUGGUGGGGGUGGGGUGGUGGUGUUGCUGGUGCGGGGUGGUGGUUGCGGGUGGGUUGUUUGUUGAGAAUUACACAGUGGACGCGAGCAUCUUUGUGGUCAA